rnacentral:rRNA from 1 species
UACGUAGGGUGCGAGCGUUGUCCGGAAUUAUUGGGCGUAAAGGGCUCGUAGGCAGUCUGUUACGUCGGGAGUGAAAACUCGGGGCUCAACCCCGAGCCUGCUUCCGAUACGGGCAGACUAGAGGUAUGCAGGGGAGAAUGGAAUUCCUGGUGUAGCGGUGAAAUGCGCAGAUAUCAGGAGGAACACCGGUGGCGAAGGCGGUUCUCUGGGCAUUACCUGACGCUGAGGAGCGAAAGUGUGGGGAGCGAACAGG